rnacentral:piRNA from 1 species
UAAAAAUGUUCCGACUGCUUAAUUGAUAAU